rnacentral:rRNA from 1 species
UGAGAUGGAGCCUAUUGAGAGCCUGCGCUUAGUUGCGCGGCUUGAGAGAAAGUUCAAAUUUAAAGUCUCUUUUUACAAAUCUUCUACACACAGUGGAGUUUUUCUACUUUACUUAUUUUCUUCUUCUUUGGGGGAGUGCAAGCUUUCCCAAAGGUGACAAACACAAACAAUUUUGUAUGUUAUUUUAAAAACUAUAAUAGUCAAAAGAAAUUUCGUUUUAUGAAAUAAAAAUAUUUAAAACUUUCAACAACGGAUCUCUUGGUUCUCGCAUCGAUGAAGAACGCAGCGAAAUGCGAUACGUAAUGUGAAUUGCAGAAUUCCGUGAAUCAUCGAAUCUUUGAACGCACAUUGCGCCCUCUGGUAUUCCAGGGGGCAUGCCUGUUUGAGCGUCAUUUCCUUCUCAAACACAUGUGUUUGGUAGUGAGUGAUACUCUAUAUACUGGGUUAACUUGAAAUUGCUAGCCUCUUUUGGCAGUGUGAGCUUACUUGGAUGGAGCGAUUUGUCCAGUCUGCUGAUACCAAAACGUUGUAUUAGGUUUUACCAACUCGACGGAAGUAGUAUUGGUGGGUGUUUUAAAGGCAAGUAUGUUUUCUUUACGAGAUAGGUUAAUGCUUCCAGGCGAACAAUACUCUCAAAGUUUGACCUCAAAUCAGGUAGGACUACCCGC